rnacentral:lncRNA from 1 species
GAAAGUUCAUCUAACGGGCAUGUCUCCUGCCCCAAGUCCUCCAUCAUCAGCAGUGAUGGUGGUAAGGGCCCCUCAGAAGAUGCAAAAAAGAACAAGGCCAAUCGGAAGGAGGAGGAUGUCAUGGCUUCCGGAACUAUCAAAAGGCACCUCAAACCAUCUGGAGAAAGUGAGAAAAAGACUAAGAAGUCUGUGGAGUUAUCCAAGGAGGACCUCAUCCAGCUCCUGAGUAUCAUGGAAGGGGAGUUGCAGGCUCGAGAAGAUGUCAUCCACAUGCUGAGGACAGAGAAAACCAAGCCCGAGGUUCUGGAGGCACACUAUGGAUCUGCAGAACCUGAGAAAGUGCUUCGGGUCCUGCACCGAGAUGCCAUCCUUGCUCAAGAGAAGUCCAUAGGAGAAGACGUCUAUGAGAAACCUAUCUCAGAG